UCUUUUCCAGCUCACUCCCGUGAGCUCACCUUCUCCUUCCUCUUCAAAACCUUCCAUUUCUGCACGCCAUCCACCCUUGCAUCUCUGACGCCAUCCCCCUGCAUCUCCGACGCCGUCCACCCCUGCAUCUCCGACGCCGUCGACGCCGUCCUCCUGCAUCUCCACACCUCCGACGCCGUCGCUUCGUCCUCCCGUCGUUCUCCCUCCGUGGUUCCUUCCCUCGCGACAUCCUCUCCCGCCUCGACCAGCUCCGCUCCUCAGCCUCCACAACAAC
rnacentral:lncRNA from 1 species